AUUGAACGCUGGCGGCAUGCUUUACACAUGCAAGUCGAACGGUAACAGGCCGCAAGGUGCUGACGAGUGGCGAACGGGUGAGUAAUGCAUCGGAACGUGCCCAGUCGUGGGGGAUAACGCAGCGAAAGCUGUGCUAAUACCGCAUACGAUCUAUGGAUGAAAGCGGGGGACCGUAAGGCCUCGUGCGAUUGGAGCGGCCGAUGUCAGAUUAGGUAGUUGGUGGGGUAAAGGCUCACCAAGCCAACGAUCUGUAGCUGGUCUGAGAGGACGACCAGCCACACUGGGACUGAGACACGGCCCAGACUCCUACGGGAGGCAGCAGUGGGGAAUUUUGGACAAUGGGCGCAAGCCUGAUCCAGCAAUGCCGCGUGCAGGAAGAAGGCCUUCGGGUUGUAAACUGCUUUUGUACGGAACGAAAAGGUUUGGGUUAAUACCCUGGGCCGAUGACGGUACCGUAAGAAUAAGCACCGGCUAACUUCGUGCCAGCCGCCGCGGUAA
rnacentral:rRNA from 1 species